AUUCUGUAGGCAAAACCAUGUUCAUUUCUUCAAACGUGAAAGAUUUCUCAGCAGCAGAUACAGCAACGGCACGUUCAGGCACAACAGCAACAGUAUGCAAUGCUGCUCUAACAAGCGGGAGCACCGUAAGCAGGAGGAAUUGCUAUUCAGUCAGUGCAGCAGCUGCAGCAAGAUCGAAUUGGCCACAAAUCGUUCAACAGCAGUAAGAAGACAAGCGGUUAACCACAAACACAACAGCAAGGUGCUCGGAAGGGA